rnacentral:rRNA from 1 species
CUACGGGGGGCAGCAGUGGGGAAUAUUGGACAAUGGGGGAAACCCUGAUCCAGCGAUGCCGCGUGUGUGAAGAAGGCCUGCGGGUUGUAAAGCACUUUCGGUUGGGAGGACUGCUUCUAGCACUAAUAUUGUUGGAAGUUGACGUUACCUUCAGAAGAAGCACCGGCUAACUCCGUGCCAGCAGCCGCGGUAAUACGGAGGGUGCAAGCGUUAAUCGGAAUUACUGGGCGUAAAGCGCGCGUAGGCGGCUAGAUCAGUCGGGUGUGAAAGCCCCGGGCUUAACCUGGGAACUGCAUCCGAUACUGUCUAGCUUGAGUACAGGAGAGGAGAGUGGAAUUCCACAUGUAGCGGUGAAAUGCGUAGAUAUGUGGAGGAACACCAAUGGCGAAGGCAGCUCUCUGGCCUGAUACUGACGCUGAGGCGCGAAAGCGUGGGGAGCAAACAGGAUUAGAUACCCGAGUAGUC